GUGGGUGUCAUGUGAUGGAGCAAAAGGAGAUACCUGAUGGCCUUAGAGACGAAUCAUGUGGCAAAUUAACACCUCCAGGAUAUGCUGGUUUGUGCGAGUCUCAUUAUAAGGAAUAUCUUGUUAGCUGUAUUAAUGCUCGGUCUCUGGAUCCAUGUGUUCUCUAUGAUCUGGCUGAGACAGUGAAUGCGCUACCUUCCUGUACUGCCUCUACAAGAUCCCAGUGAGGAUGAGGCCAGCUAUAAAGAGCGUCUCCAGGGGGUGUUAAUGUCGGAGGUUCCAUUGAGCCUGAACAUUCGGAAGCAGAAUUAAUGAUUCCUGUUCUUGGAAUUUCAUUUACACAUUUCUCUGGUAGUGCCAUAUAAAGAAGAACCUGUUUGUUAUCUAAAUCAACUUUAAAAAAGUUACACCAAAAAGAUGUAUGAUUGUAAUUACAAAAUAAAAUAUAUUAAAUGUAUCUACCAAUA